rnacentral:misc_RNA from 1 species
AUAAUUUACAGCCAUAACUAUUUGACAAGAAUUAUUACCAAGGAUCAACGCAAUUAUAGAGUGAUCAACUAUGAGGACCAAUAACAAAAGAGAAAACACAGUUUCUUUAAGGAGGCAACCCACGCACCUUGGUUGUCAAUCUGUCAUUUACAUAACCAUAGAAGUUUCAUGCAUAUGGAUUCCUCUUUAUGACAGUCGUCUGACCUCAUCCUUCCCAUAUAUACGCUGAAGUUCACGUGUCGCAGCUAGAAAAGAUUCUUUCCAGAUGCGAAAUGAUUUUUGGUUAAUGGAUGAUCCAGUAAUUGUCUGAAUAACUUCAAAUAGUAAAUCCUGAGGUGUGUUCCUGAGCUCCUGAACAAUUCCGUAGAUCGUCUUCCCAUUCUCAAAGUAUAUAUGAUUAUUAGGGUGUUUUGUCUUACAACCAGCAUGUCGCUCAAACUCAUAAGCGUUAAUUGCCUUGGAAAAAUUACAUGACUGACAGCCACAGAGGUAACCAGAGCCUUUUAUAAUACCACGGAGCUCCUUCUCUCUGGACCAAGCUAUAUACUUGACAGGUACUCCAUCUAACAUACCAGUUGAGAGCAAGCUUCUCACAUUUGAAGGGAAACUGUUCGAAGGAGGCUUUUUAGUUGCUUUCUGCUCCUCCUUUUUGGAAAUAAAUUCCUUACUGCCAGCCAUUUGAGCAGCAGUUGUAACUGUAUCCGCAUUUGACUCAACCAAUCGCUUUCCAGUCACAAUAUCUGAUUGUUGGCCUGAAGACUGACUCAUUAAUAAGUCAUAACUGCAAAUCAGCCUUCCAGAAGAAUUUAUAUCGUCAUCGUCAUUGAAUCCACCAAAGGAUAUGAUAUUGCUUUCUCCAUUGCCAAAAGAUUGGCUCAUUGACAAAUUAUUGUUUUCAACUUUGCUAUAGGUCUGACUCACUGAUAUGGCAUUGUCAUUGACUUUGCUGUAGCAGUGGCUAAUAGGUGGAUUGGUGUCAGCCAUCGUGUUAAUAGUUUGUCCAACUGAUGUAAUAUUGCUAUCAUCAUUACCGAAUUGCUGACCCAUUGAUAUGGCAGUAUUAUUGUCAUUGAAUGAGUGACUCACUGAUAUUGUGCUAUCAUCCUCUCUGCUAAAACUUUGAUUCAGCAUAAUAAUAUUGCUUUCAUCUUUA